GGAUGAACGCUGGCGGCGUGGAUAAGGCAUGCAAGUCAAACGGACUGUAUAGCAAUAUAUAGUCAGUGGCAGACGAGGUAGUAAUAAGUAAGUAACGUACCCCAAAGUCAGGAAUAACUAGUCGAAAGAUUAGCUAAUACUUGAUGGCCUCUUUGAUUUAUUUCAUUGAGUAAAGAUUUAUCGCUUUGGGAACGGCUUGCUGAGUAUCAGCUAGUUGGUAGGGUAACGGCCUACCAAGGCUAUGACGCUUAGGGGACCUGAGAGGGUGACCCCCACCGAUGGAACUGAGAAACGGUCCAUACACCUACGGGUGGCCGCAGUCGAGAAUCUUCCGCAAUGGACGAAAGUCUGACGGAGCGACGCCGCGUGCAGGAUGAAGUGCUUCGGUAUGUAAACUGCUUUAGCCGGGGAGAAAGUUUAUUGAUAGUACCCGGAGAAUAAGAGGUUGCUAAACUCGUGCCAGCAGCAGCGGUAAUACGAGUGCCUCAAGCGUUAUCCGGAAUUAUUGGGCGUAAAGGUUGUGUAGGUGGUCGCAUUAGUCUCUUGUUAAAUUCUUCGGCUUAACCGGGGGCAUGCAAGGGAAACGGUGCGACUAGAGGAUGCGAGGGGUCUGCGGAACUCAUAGUGUAGCGGUGAAAUGCGUUGAUAUUAUGGGGAACACCAAAAGCGAAGGCAGCAGACUGGAGCACUCCUGACACUGAAACAAGAAAGCGUGGGUAGCGAAUGGGAUUAGAUACCCCAGUAGUCAACGCCCUAAACGAUGAUCUCUAGGUUUGAGGAGUAUCGACCCUCUUCGAGCCGUAGCUAACGCGUUAAGAGAUCCGCCUGGGUAGUACGACCGCAAGGUUAA
rnacentral:rRNA from 1 species